rnacentral:rRNA from 1 species
AUUGAACGCUGGCGGCAUGCUUUACACAUGCAAGUCGAACGGUAACAGGCCUUCGGGUGCUGACGAGUGGCGAACGGGUGCGUAAUGCAUCGGAACGUACCCAGAGGUGGGGGAUAACGCAGCGAAAGCUGUGCUAAUACCGCAUGUGAUCUGAGGAUGAAAGCGGGGGACCGAGCAGCAAUGUUUGGCCUCGCGCCUUUGGAGCGGCCGAUGUCGGAUUAGCUAGUUGGUGGGGUAAAGGCCUACCAAGGCGACGAUCCGUAGCUGGUCUGAGAGGACGACCAGCCACACUGGGACUGAGACACGGCCCAGACUCCUACGGGAGGCAGCAGUGGGGAAUUUUGGACAAUGGGCGCAAGCCUGAUCCAGCAAUGCCGCGUGCGGGAAGAAGGCCUUCGGGUUGUAAACCGCUUUUGGCAGGAACGAAACGGUGUCCGCUAAUACCGGGCGCUAAUGACGGUACCUGCAGAAUAAGCACCGGCUAACUACGAG